CAUUGUGCUUCCACUCAGUGGUUGGGGUAUAUAUUCUGUGUACCCAGUAAAAACUUUGGCAUUCAUUUUCUUGAAACAGUGGCCCGAGUCUGUGUGUUUCUUUUUAAAUCUUGCAGGCCUGCGCCCGGUUCUCCGUGAAAGACCCCCAGAGAGGACCUUUCCCUCAGGAGGAGUCCCAAGCGCCCAAUGACCGAGCCAAGUCCACUCGGAUGCAAUCAGCAAGAGGGUUUAUUGGAAAACACAGACUAGAGCAGCUUCCCGCCUUGGCCAGAGAAUCUACUUUUUACAGAAGUCAACCAUUCGUGCAGAGACUCAUCUGGCCGGAGUAUGAAGGGUCUGUACUGAUCAUAAGCAAAGAGCAGCCAAGGACACCUGCACAAGACGCCUUCAGCAUCCACCAGGGAUGGGGAGCUGCCAUGACACCCAACCCCCUUUGUGAGAGUUGAUGGUUUCCAAUCGAGAGGGCAGCAUUUUCCUCAGUGUUGCAGCCACUGAUAAAUACAGUUGUGGCUAUUGAUUUAAUAUCCCACAAGACUCUGACUGGCUCUGGUUGGGAAGACACUAUAUGGUAAUAAUGCAAAUACCUCAAAUUCAAUAUUUUAAACAAAAAAAUGUACUGAGUGCACUGAAAGAGUGUCUCCUGGACUGCUGCCUGCAGCCUAAGGCGAGGACUUGGGUUCGAUUCCCAGCAUCCACGUAUCAGCUCAGAACCACAAUCCAGAAAAUGGAAAACUCAAUCCAGAAAGUGAGAGAUUUCUUGCUUGGUUUGAAGUAGGUGAAUCCACUUCUAGUCUGGACCUAUGACGUGGGAAGACACACGCCAUUAACCCAGACCUUGAAGUGAGAAGACACGCCUUUAAUAUGGGCCACACCUUUUGCUGGACAUCUAUAUAAGGAGAGAGAAGAAGAAAGCUUUUGCUCUUUGCCUUUUUGCCCUCACCUUGCUAGCACGUCCAUCCCUUCACUGGCAGGAGAGCCUACGUGUUUGAGAUCCCAGCAUCUACUGAAGAGCAACUGAGGCAUCCCGCUUUGUGAACUGAACACUACUGGAUUCUUGGACUUUGCGUCCACAGCCAGCCAUUGUUGGAUUAGCUGGAUGGCAGCCUGCCUUACACAGAGAGAGGCAGCACCUUCUGCCCCACCCUGCUCAGUUCAGAAGACACUGGUAGCGUCAUUUAAGCACUGAAGCAAAUAACACAGCGUACUGCAAGUCAGAGGAGCUUAAGUGGGACUCCAACUAAUCUUUUUUAAGGCUCUGUGUCACUGCCACCUGGCCUUGAAUUUCUCAGGAUGACCUCCCCCAUUGCUGGCACAGGAGGCGCUCAGUCAAUACGCCCGAAUCCAGAUAAAGCACACCAAGCCAACCGGGUUCCACAUGGAGAGAUUUAAUGAGAGAAGAGGAGAGAAGAGGAAAAGAGGCCAGCCAUGGAAGCUGAGGCUACAGGGAGAGGUGGCAGCCAGUCCUACAGAGCCUCACAGGUCAGGCUUCGGUUCAAACUUCGAGCAGCUUUCACAACGCAGAAAAAUCGCUCCUGAUGUAGGUGAUCACUAUCUGUGUUUGUCCAACAAGCACUAUGUCCACCAAAAAUAUUUUGAGGACAAUAGCUUACCAAGACUGAUCAAGGAAGCAAAGUUUAAAAUAAAAAGAUAAAUAGUUCUUCAAGCACCUAGAUAAAAUGACAACUAAAAGUCGAUUCCUCCUCCGUGUCUUCCUUUCUCUCGUUUCCUCUUUAACUCUUCUUGUUUCCCUGUCUCUCUUUCCCUCCAGUACGGGAGGCAUCAGAGUCCAUCUGUGCUGGGGGACCUAGGGAGCCCUGCUGGGAGCAGGAAGGGUGCUGAGGCUGAGAAGGACAGCCAGGCAGGAAGGAGCACAGUCCAGGGAGGAGGAGGACUUGCAGAUGGAGAGAUGUGUUGGGGGAAGUUUGAAGAUUUAUCAGACCGCAAAUAAUUAAAUUGGUCGAAUACAUAAAUAAAGGCAUUGUUGAUAAUGAGCGCCAAGUUUCACUGUGAUGGAGAAUGUACCCGUAAACGUGUCCAGUCAGAAGUCCUGACUAAUCCUAAAGCAUUAGAUUAGACUCUAAUAGAAUCGGUGUGAAUUACAGAUCCAGCGGGUAUGUCUUUCUUACAUUGUCUUGUUGUCCUUUGUUUUUUGAGACAGGCUGGCCUAGAACUCAUGAAGGAUUCCAGGCUGACUUCAAACUCACUCUAACUCUAAUCCUCCUGCUCUAACCUUUCAAGCGAGUGCUAAGAUGAUAGAUAGGUGUGAGCUUUUUCUUUUCCCUCCCCCAUUCUUUCUUGUUUCUUUUCUUCUCUCUUUGGUCUUUUCCUUUCUUCCUUGCCCUCAUUAAUGAGUCAUCUAGUGGCCAAAACCAAAUGGGACUCCAUUAGUCAUAAGAGCAUAAUUCACCCCAAACCUGUCUUCCACUUACUGCCAACUAAUGAAACCAUACACUGAGCUGGAGGGCUGCUUUGGUGGUUAAGAACACAACACUGGCUGCUCUUCCAGAGGAUCCGGGUUUGACUCCCAGCAUCCACAUGACAGCUCAUAAGGGGCUGUGCCUCCAUCCUUUUCUAGCCUCUGAGACACACAGACAUACAGUCAGAACACCCAUAUACAUAAUGUUUUUAAGUUCACAAUGAGGAAGAACAGGAAAUCAUGAACAGCGAGGCGUGAAUGAAAAAAUGUUCCUUACUGAGGGACCUGCAUCCUUUGAGAAACACUUUCAAGCCAUAAAACUUGCAUUUACUGAUGACUUAAACUAACAUACACUUAUUACCGUCUUACUGUGUUUGAGGUUCUGUGUUCUUGCCUGGCACAAAGGCCUGUGAUGAACUGUGUUGAUUCUGUCCUUGGGAGGAAAACACAGCACAGUGAGUGUCCCUAUCCCUUCUCUCUCCUCCCUCUUACUUCCCUCCAAGUGCCCAUGGCCAACCUCCUUUCCUCCCUUCUUCUACUCUUCUUCUCUCAUUAAGCCUCUCUACGUGGAACCAUGUUAGCUUGGUGUGCUUUGUCCCGGUGUGGGCUGAGAUUUUAAACCCUAACAGUGGGGGCCCAUAUGAAGAGAUUGAUCUCCCCGUGCCUACAUGGCCUGGCACCCUGCCACUGCUGACCUCGGGGCAGAAGAUAGGCCUUUUCCACCGCAUACCUCCACCACCUGUCAAGGCUCGAGCAUGCACCACCCAAGAUCGCUGCAGCACGUCCCGCCAUUGAGUUCCACUCUUACAUUCACUGCUGCUUCUGUGUGCACCACCCCAAUUCGAUUGCAGCUGCUGCCUCUGCUAUGCCAUCUACACAUCCGACCACCACCACCACCACCUGCUGGCUUCCACCACAUGAGUUGCUGCUUCAGCUGGCCCACAUGCAGACUUCUGCAUGAGCCGCUGCCCUCUGCGGUUCACCACGUGGUGCCAGCUCUUGCUGCUUAGACAGGCCCGCCCCAACCACACGGUUCCUCUUUUCCUGCUACCAGACUGCAGCUACAGUCUCUUCACAAACACCGGCUGAUUGGUAGGUAUAUUCCGGUUGGCAAGGAGGACCCUGAUUUCCCAGAUAAAGUCUGGCCAGCUUUUCUGAGAUUACGGGAAUUUUCUUGAUCAUUGAGUGGAGUUUCCCUCAAAAGUGGUUCCUCGCUCCCCUCCUGCUCUGGGCUCUCACAGCCAACAACAAAAAAAAAAAUCCCAGGCCUGGGUAGGAACGCUUUCUUGUGUGUCUGGGACCCAUCGUUUAUAGCUGCCAGGAGUCUAAUCCACGACUCAAACACCAGGCGUGGCAGAGUAUUACCAUUACCAUUAAUUUCUCCUGGGACGCUGGUGAGAUUUAAUUGGUGACUUCCUCCAAUGGGAAAUUCGAGGUCUUCGACCGUACCCCCAAAUUCACCGUCAGGAUGUCUUUUAGAGAAUUUCAAAACUUCAAAAUUAACACCUCACCUGAGGACAUCAAAAUUGAUACACCUAUGCAGUAUUCAUUAGAUAAUGUUCAAAAUGGCCGCAUAAUGGCACUCCUUUUUCACUGAAUGAACUUUCUCAAAUAGAAAGCAGACUGGGUUCCUAUACCUCUAAUUCAUUCACUGUUAUUAAAGAGUUCCAGUACAUUACCCAAUCUUACAGCUUGACCUUUCAUGAUGUGCAUAUGGUCCUUACUAAUAAUUUACUUCCUGAGGAACACCGGCAAGUUUGGGAGCAGGACAGUCUUAAAACCAGUGAAUUUUGAAAAAACUACAAGAGGUCAUCCAGGAAGAAACAGGAAAACCCACCCCAAUCUUUAGAACGCCUUACAAAGGCUUUAUUGCAAUACACUAAUCUAGACCUGGAAAACCCAGAAGGUAAACAACUUCUGAUGAACUAUUUCUUUUCCCAAAGGGACAAACUUAAAAAGCUGGAGAGGGGGUCCCUAACCCCGCAGGCAGAAAUUUUGGCGCUGACCUUCAAGGUGUACCAUGGGAGAGAUGGGAAGGCUUGCAGACAAAAGCACCUUAUGCUGGUAACGGCUGUCUGACCAGCCUCAGCCACUCCCUGGAACUCCUGGUCUUCUAAGGCUAAGAGACCACCAGGCUCCUGCCAAAAAUGUGGUCAAGAAGGUCACUGGGCAAGGGCUUGCCCUAACUUCUGAAAACCAAGGGUCCAUGUCCUAGAUGCCAUCAAGAGGGACACUGGGCUGUCGAUUGCCCUCAUGUUGUGCAGGACAGGGGGACAUCAUGCCCAGAUAACCCUCCAGAGGAUCUUCUAGGCUUGGCUAUGGAUGACUGAAGGGUCCUGAGUUCCCUGGACCUGACCACUGCCAUUUCCAGCAGGGAGACAUUAUGGUAUGUGGGUAGCCCAUCUCCUUCCUCUUGGACACCGGGGCCACUUACUCCUAAUGGCGUUUUGGGGACCCAUUUCUUUCUCCCGAUUCCCCAUUGUCGGGGUAAGGGGUAACCUAACUUUCCUCACCAAACCCUACUGCUUAGUUUCAAUUUUAGGGGUGUACCUCCCACUCAUUCCUUUUUGGUGGUGCCGACAUGCCCUGUCCUCUUAUUGGGAAGGGAUCUUCUAGCUAAGUUGGGAGCCUUUAUUUCCUCUGCUCUACCCAUUUGCCUAAAACCAAGCUCGCCUGCACUCCUCUGCUUCUCCUAGCCAGCCAACCUACUAACACGGACAUGUUGCUUCCUUUACCAGCUUUUCAGGUAGACCUCCCUGAGUCUGGGAGGUCCAGAACCCCUCUGUUGCUAAACAGUCUUUCCAAAUAGGAUCUGGAAACUGUCUUAACUGUCCUUUUUGUCAUGACAAACAGUUUUAAGACACCCAGGACACUUUCUACAGGACAAAUUCUUCCUUCUGCUCCACAAAAAGCUUAUCUUAAAGAAUGUUCAUGUUGUUAACUCAUGUUGUUAUCUCUCUUGUAAACUUGUAAGUUACAGGAAACCCUCUCAGACCUAUUGUUGUUGUUAAAAUCUCCUUGUUGCUAAAUAUGGGCCCACGCCCGUCCAGAUAGAGCACACCAAACCAACACAGUUCCACGUGGAGAGAUUUAAUGGGAGAACGAGACAAGGGGAAGGAUCGAGAGAAAGAAGAGGAAGAGAAGGAGGGCAGAAGAGGGCUGCCUUUUAUUUGGAAUGUGAGGUAACUACUCCCAGAUGGAGGUGGGAAUUAAACUAAAGGAAUACUGGGAAUGUACGGCCGUUGCCGUGGCAACAGUGACCAACCGGUGUCGCUGUUGGAGGUAAAGGCAAUUCCUGAUACCAACAUACU
rnacentral:lncRNA from 1 species